UGGGGAAUAUUGCACAAUGGAGGGAACUCUGAUGCAGCGACGCCGCGUGAGUGAUGAAGGAAUUCGUUUCGUAAAACUCUGUUCUAUGGGAAGAAAAGGACUGUACCAUAGGAGAAAGCUCCGGCUAAAUACGUGCCAGCAGCCGCGGUAAUACGUAUGGGGCGAGCGUUGUCCGGAAUUAUUGGGCGUAAAGGGUGCGCAGGCGGCUUUACAAGUUGGAUGUGAAAUAUUGUGGCUCAACCACAAACGUGCAUCCAAAACUGCAAAGCUUGAGUUAAGGAGAGGUAAGUGGAAUUCCUGGUGUAGCGGUGGAAUGCGUAGAUAUCAGGAGGAAUACCGGUGGCGAAGGCGACUUACUGGACUUAAACUGACGCUCAGGCACGAAAGCGUGGGGAGCAAACAGG
rnacentral:rRNA from 1 species